ACGGAUUAUGAAUCGACGACGACGAUCCACUACUGAAUUGCUAAUACAGUGGGCAAACCUACUAACAGAAGAUGCCACUUUGGAGAACUAUGAUGACUUGAAGAUCAAAUUCCCAAAAUUCAUGAAUCGUCAGCCUCGAGGACAAGGCUGAUUUGAAGAGGGCGGGUUUGUUAGGACUCUAGCUAGGAGAGUCCUAAUUGAGAGGGACAUUCAUGUAAAACUAUUAGGACUUUAGCUAG
rnacentral:lncRNA from 1 species